UUGCCUGGUUAAACUCCAUCGCCUCCAUAGAUCGCACCAGUGCCAUCUGCUCGUCCAUCAAUUUCCUGUGCUCCUCCAUCGAUUCAGUGCUCGGUGUAGCAGCUUCUUCCUCUUGUGGGGGAGGUAUUUUGAGUAGCUCGUAGAGCUCCUUCAGCUUCCAAAGUGCAUCAAGUAGCACCUCUUCUUGAGGCUUACCUUCGUCAAGCGCCAUCCCCUUGAAAGUCUGUUUAACCCUAGCCUUGAUGUAGCAAUUGCCUUUUUUAUAAUUUCCUAUACCAAAAGGGCUGUGAAAUGUGAAACCGCUUUUUCCACAAACAAUUCUUACCUUUCUUAUUCAAAAGAAUCCAAUACGUCUGAAUAAAAGCAUUAAACAAAGUGCCUAGUGACUUGGUGGAAAUACUUUCUGUUUCCAAAUAAUCGGCGAGCAUCCUAUUGCUCGCAGCAAACCACCAACACAAUGCUGUGAAAAUCGCCGGCGCUUCAUUCCCCGCGGUGUGGUGCGCUUGGUCUGCGCAGUGUGAGCCUGGCAACCAGCUCUGUUGAGUUCUUGGCGGCAUUCACUGACAAAACCUUCACGAGGAAAGAUGGAAAACGUUAAUCGACUCAUUCCAAGACAAACCUGUGGAAUCACAAUGCAAUCUCCGCAAUCGCCAGCUGCUCACGCAAUCUCAGAGUUGUGGCCUGCUCUCGGAAUCAUGCCCAGAUUUUCCAGUUACACCGACAACGGAGCCUUGACACCAAGUUCUCGGAGUGGAGAAAAGGAUUUGGCACUGGAACUUUUCUCCAUCAUGCUGGAUCAAGGACGCGAGAAUCUUUGUGGCUGUUCUUGGUGCCUGCGCGCGGGAGAAGACGGCAGGGAGCUGGCUGGGUAAAUGAUGAACGUGCAGUCAGUCGGGACACGAGAAAAAAAAAACACACACACACACACGUCCAAAGCUCCGAGACCUCGUGCAGAAGCUGCCAGUACAGGGACAUGAUGGCGUUGAUAAGUAUGGUGAAAAGCCCCGUUGUAUCCUUCCCAAACUUGCAGCUGCGUUAAAUGCCGCUUCGAGAGCUGAAAUUGCAUAUAAGACGCCGGGAGGGAGAUAAUCCCACCACCUUCAAAGGCUUCAGUUCGGAGCAGUCAUUCGCUGUCUUUGGAGUGCUUCCUAGAUAGAGAUGUUCUUUUCCCAUGCAAACCUGUCGUCGCCAUGGCUAAGAAGGCCCAGAGAGCUUUCCAAACCAUGGCAACGAACUUCCUUGCAUCCGAGAUCACGGAGGAACGGUCUGCAUUUCUUUUCCAGCAUAAGAAUCGCUGCCCACAGCAGCUGAGCGAGGUCGCUCAGCUACUGUAGGAACUGACGUUGUAAGCAUCGAUGACAAGCUCAGUCUUCCCUGUGCUGCCAACCCGUGAGCAAUAGCCGCAAGUGUGAAAGAAAAGACCGCCGUCAAUACCAGAACCUUUGUUGCCACCUCCCUGACUGCUCGCCAAAUACUCAGAUAGCAUGCUGAAUAUCGCAGCAACCACAGUGCCGUCAGCACCACCUGGAGUUUGAUUCGAAGCACGAUCUUUUUAACUGAGAUACCAGUGGACAAUUGGCUAAAGUAUGUACCAGGUUAAAAGAAUCUUGAAACAAACAACUAUCAACAGAAAAAAAUCAACAAACACACCUAAAGUGUAGAAGACAACGUAGAGCGAAUGUAAGAGGCCAGCCUGAACACCUUCAAGUGUAUACAUGCCAAUUGGACAACUUGUUACUGUCGUUCUUAGCUUUCUGUCCAGCCUCUCAGAAUUAACUUGAGGAUGAGCUUCUUUACCAGUCAAAAGAUUUAGGCCACACCCACAUUGCCUACAUGCUUCUCCGGAAGCUGGUCAAGACGUCCACAAAUGCAUAUCAAUCUGAAACGCUCUUUGUGAUACAGCUCCUGCGCCAAAUAAGGCACGCAAUGGUUUAGUAGUCCCCCACUUGCUUGGUCACUAUGUAACAAAAGCUCCGAUAGUAGUACUUUGCUGCAGCUCCUUCACUUAUUUUACUUCAAAUUUUGAGCAAAAGCACAUCGGUCUGGGCAAACAGCAUUGGCACGCGAGAAAGCUCUUAUCAAGUCACGGAAACUUCUGCAGAAGGACAACGAAAAAUUGUUAUAGCGAUGGAAGCAUUACCAGCAUUAUCGAGAGGAGCUGUGCACGCCUGACUAGGACUGACAUUAGAUGGACACGGCACUGAUUCUGGUCUUUUGGUAGGAGCUGGCUCCACCUUGUGUAGUGCACGAUCGUUACGUUAGCCGUUAGCCGUUAGCCCGUGAUGCUAGCACAAUAUUUCCAGGCAGCAUCACAUCCUCUUUCGAAUGUAGUCGCAGCUCCUCACAUUUGUCAAUUAUGGCCACUUUUUAGCAAUAUCUUACCCGUGCUGCUAUUUCGUCAGAUGUCAAUUCAGUCCAUUCAGAAACCUAUGAACGUUUUUGUUGGAUCCUGCGGUAAGCGAACCUUGUUAAAGAGCCCUUUCAAAAAACUUUUGAGAGCAUCAGGUGGAUCCUGCUCGACAGCGAUAGCUAAAGUUAUAACAAAAUCGCAAUAAUUACCUCCUGUAAACAGAGUUAGAGUAAAAAGGAGGCUGGCCAACAUAGAGUUCAUUCCUGCUCAUGACAAUGCGCGUCAAUGUAAAACAAACAGAACUUUACAAUGUCACACCAAGAGUCUGCUCUAGGGAGCCAUGUAUAGUGGAGCUCCUGUCAUAGCGUCACGGUUUCACGAAUGUAUAGAAGCAAUCUAAAAGACAACCUUCGAUCGAGCGAAGAGCCAUUUGUGUUGCAAGACAUGUCCACAAUCGCAGAGCUGAUUCCAACAAUAGGCACUCACAGGAUUUCACAAUCCAGAUUUGGUGCCUUCGCCGGCACCGAUCUCCCAGUGGAUGGUGUAGUGCCCGAACCUACGAGUAAGUCUUCUUAGAAAAAGUCUCGCACUAAUCUUUGUCGCUCUUGCCGUGCUUGAGCAUAUCGUCUGGGGCAUCGAUCGAUCAGGGGCAAACAAGAAAACAAAAAUGCAGCUCACAGAAAUGCAUGGCCAGUGCAUCUCGUCAAAAAGCCUAGAGCGAUACCCAGAGUAGAAAUUCUUCUGGUAACAUUUAUUUUGUAUGGUAGGAAUUCUUUUCUCUCUUUUUCGUUCUUGAAGGCAAGAAAAUUCCCCCGUACAACGUGGCUGGGAUAGAAUUUCUUUCGGCCCGACCAGACAUGUCCAACAGACGCUCGUAGUGCUCCUCGGAUGGCAUUCUCAUUCUCCAAAACUGUCAAGGCAACUUAUGCUCCAAAGCCGCACCUUCUUUGCCACAAGACUUUCCUCUGCUUCUUCCUGAUCACCUCGCCUUCGCUUCAAGCCCGGCUUCAAAUCCAUCUCCAGACACAAUUCCUGCUGUACAGCAGAAUGCUUGACGACCCAUGGAUGCUUCUCAAUCUCAUGGAUUGGCAGCCUCUUUCUCGGGUCCAAGUGGAGCAGCUGGAGAAUGAGAUCUUUGGCUUCCUCGCUCACAUCCGUCCAGUCAAGGGAGGUCACCGGCACUUCCUUCCUCCCCACCCAGAAUGCAAACUGCCCCGACAAUAUCUCAUACAAGACAAUGCCCACGCCCCACACAUCUACCAUCUCAUCAUACUCAUCAUCAGAAUUCACCAUCUCUGGGGCGCUGUAAGCCUGUGUCCCAGAAAGGUCGCUCAUCCUAAACUUUACGCCUGGCCCCUCGCUCAACCAACACGUUCCAAAGUCAGCCACCUUUAUGCUGUCAAAUUUCUCCUUAAUCCCUAGGAGGAUGUUGGCAGUGUUGAUAUCCCUAUGAGCUAUUCCCAUGUCGUGCAUUUCGCCCACAGUCCUGGCCACUUUCUUCAUCACCAGUGCUGCCUCGUGCUCACUCAGCCUCCCCUUGUCCUUCAACACAUCUCGCAGCGAGCACUGGCACAACUCCAUGACAAGGUGAUGGUAUUCUUGUUCUUUGAAAACGUCCACUAGUUGAACCACACCACUUUUUGCUGUGCUCUUGGAGAGUUUCGUGAGUACUCUCAUCUCUAACUCCGCUUGGUCUUCAAGAUUGUCAGUGACCCGAAUUGAUUUACAAGCGAACAAUUGACCGUCGCUCUUGCGUUUGAUUUGGUAGACACUUGAUUGGCCUCCCUGACCCAGCUCCUUUUCCACCGAGAACAAGUCUCCCAUGCUUGCCUGGUUAAACUCCAUCGCCUCCAUAGAUCGCACCAGUGCCAUCUGCUCGUCCAUCAAUUUCCUGUGCUCCUCCAUCGAUUCAGUGCUCGGUGUAGCAGCUUCUUCCUCUUGUGGGGGAGGUAUUUUGAGUAGCUCGUAGAGCUCCUUCAGCUUCCAAAGUGCAUCAAGUAGCACCUCUUCUUGAGGCUUACCUUCGUCAAGCGCCAUCCCCUUGAAAGUCUGUUUAACCCUAGCCUU
rnacentral:lncRNA from 1 species